rnacentral:rRNA from 1 species
UACGUAGGGUGCGAGCGUUGUCCGGAAUUAUUGGGCGUAAAGAGCUCGUAGGCGGCUCGUUGCGUCGGCUGUGAAAACCCGCAGCUCAACUGUGGGCUUGCAGCUGAUACGGGCGGGCUGGGAUUCGGUAGGGGAGACUGGAAUUCCUGGUGUAGCGGUGAAAUGCGCAGAUAUCAGGAGGAACACCGGUGGCGAAGGCGGGUCUCUGGGCCGAUAUCGACGCUGAGGAGCGAAAGCGUGGGGAGCGAACAGG